GAACGUUGCAAGUGUACCGGUGACCGGA
rnacentral:piRNA from 1 species